rnacentral:rRNA from 1 species
AGUGAACGCUGGCGGCGUGCUUAACACAUGCAAGUCGAACGAGAACGGAAUAUAGCUUGCUAUAUUUGUCAGCUAAGUGGCGCACGGGUGAGUAAUGUAUAGAUAACCUGCCCUUAAGAAAGGAAUAACAGUUGGAAACGACUGCUAAUGCCCUAUAUGCCUUUAAUACAUAAGUAUGCAAGGGAAACGCUUUAGUGCUUAAGGAUGGGUCUGUAUGGUAUCAGCUUGUUGGUGGGGUAAUGGCUCACCAAGGCUAUGACGCCUAACUGGUUUGAGAGGAUGAUCAGUCACACUGGAACUGAGACACGGUCCAGACUCUUACGGGAGGCAGCUGUGGGGAAUAUUGCACAAUGGACGAAAGUCUGAUGCAGCAACGCCGCGUGGAGGAUGACACAUUUCGGUGCGUAAACUCCUUUUAUAUAGGAAGAUAAUGACGGUACUAUAUGAAUAAGCACCGGCUAACUCCGUGCCAGCCGCCGCAGUAA